rnacentral:lncRNA from 1 species
UCCAGCUCCACUCAAUGAAUCUUGUCCUCUACAAGCAUCACAGCUUUAUCCAUUGCUUUGUGCUGAGUCUCAAGGACCAAACCCAUUCGACAGAUUCCAGAAAGCCCUUCUUGGAAAUUGAUGUCAAAGGGGGAGAGAGAGAUCACAUCAAAGCUUAUCACCUACUAGGGAGAGAAUAUUAAGGGGGAGAAAGAGAUCUCCAGGGGGAGAGAAUACUCAAGGAUCCCAGAUGCUUGAUGUUCAAGAGGAGAGAUGCCACAUGUCUUUUUGGGGGAAAGACAUGUUCAUAUGUGCAUAUUUGCAUUAAGCUCUAUCCAUUUGUAUCUUUCAGCUCUGAUUUUCUGUUCCCUAUCUUCUCCCAAUAUCCCAUACCAGAUUCAGGGGGAGCAAGACAUCUAAGGGACAGAAAUCAUUCAAAUUCAUUGCAUAUCUUUACUAUUGGGGACAUGUCUAAUCCAAUGUGGUACCUUGUACUCACUCUCUACAUGUCAUCCCAGUCUUGGUAUUCUUGUGGUUUCUUUUGUUUGCUCUGGCUAGUGGAUGUACCUGUGUUAUCUAACCUUGUUUGUGCAGGUUCAUUCCAUCCUAAGCCAACUCAAGACUACAAGGUAAGUAUAUGCAUCAGAAUCAUGAGUAUGAGGAAUUCUUGCUUAUGUACAUACUGUUUGCAAGAAGGACUCAUGAGCAUGAAGGUAUUUUCCUUAAUAAUCUUUUUCUCUGAUGCAUAUGGCCAAGAUACAUGUAACACAUUGUCUACUCUGUCAUGGCUAUGCUCUCACAUGCUUCUACAUUUCAUAUUCACAUGAUUGCAUACAUGUAGGGGGAGCCCAUGUUUGUUACAUGUCCUUCCAAAGCUUUACUUGUUGUUCUUUAUAUCCUUAUCUAAAGCUUUGAUGUAUGUUGCCAUCAAUUACCAAAAAGGGGGAGAUUGAAAGCACAAGUGCUCCCUAGGUGGUUUUGGUAAUUAAUGUCAACAUAUCUCUUGUUGGACUAACAUUUUUAUCUAGUAUGUUUCAGAUAAGUUCAACAAUGGAAUGGCAUGGACUAAAGGAUGUGGGAACUCCUUCAAGAUGCUAAGGACAAAGGAUUGGCAAAAGCUUCAAGCUCAAGACUCUUCAUUUUACAUUUUGGUGAUCCAAGAUCACAUUGAGUCUAUAGGAAAAGCCAAUACUAUCAAGGAGGGAUGAGGUGUUGCUUAAUGAGCCUCUUGCUUCAUGUGCUUAGUGAUAUGCUCCAAAACCCUCAGCUACUUUCCCACUUCCACAUAUGACCUAAACCUAAAGUCAAACUCGGACCUACCGAUUCUUUCAAUUCGGCGCCACCGAGUUUCACAUGUCAUAGCCACUGCCACAAACCCUAGCAAAUCGGUAUCACCGAUAGGGAUCUCGGUCUCACCGAGAUGGGAUUGCAAUCUCAUUGUGUAUGUCCAUUGCCACAAUCGGUCUCACCGAGUUUGAGCAAUCGGUACUACCGAGAUUACAAUGCAAAUCCUCUGGUUAGCUUAUUACCAAAUCGGUCCCACCGAGUUUGUGUAAUCGGUCUCACCGAGUUUGCCUGACCAACUCUCUGGUUAGCUUAUUACCAAAAUCGGUCCCACCGAGUUUGUGUAAUCGGUCACACCGAGAUUACGUUAUGCCCUAACCCUAACCAUAUCGGUCCUACCGAGUUGCAUGUCAGUCCCACCAAAAAUCACUAACGGUCACUAGGUUUACUAAAUCGGUCCGACCGAGUUUGUUGAUUCGGUCCCACCGAGAUUGGUAAAUUGUGUGUAACGGUUGGAUUUUGUGUGGAGGCUAUAUAUACCCCUCCACCUCCUCUUCACUCGUGGAGAGAGCCAUCAGAACACAUCUACACUUCCAACUCACAUGUUUUGAGAGAGAACCACCUACCCUUGUGUUGAGCUCAAGAUAUUCCAUUCCUACCAUAUGAAUCUUGAUAUCUAGCCUUCCCCAAGUUGCUUUCCACUCAAAUCUUCUUUCCACCAAAUCCAAAUCCUGUGAAAGAGAGAGUUGAGUGUUGGGGAGACUAUCAUUUGAAGCACAAGAGCAAGGAGUUCAUCAUCAACACACCAUUUGUUACUUCUUGGAGAGUGGUGUCUCCUAGAUUGGCUAGGUGUCACUUGGGAGCCUCCGACAAGAUUGUGGAGUUGAACCAAGGAGUUUGUAAGGGCAAGGAGAUCGCCUACUUCGUGAAGAUCUACCGCUAGUGAGGCAAGUCCUUCGUGGGCGGUGGCCAUGGUGGGAUAGACAAGGUUGCUUCUUCGUGGACCCUUCGUGGGUGGAGCCCUCCGUGGACUCGUGCAACCGUUACCCUUCAUGGGUUGAAGUAUCCAUCAACGUGGAUGUAGGAUAGCACCACCUAUCCGAACCACGCCAAAAACAUCCGUGUCUCCAAUUGUGUUUGAAUUCUCCAAACCCUUCCCUUUACAUUCUUGCAAGUUGCAUGCUUUACUUUCCGCUGCUCAUAUACCCUUUGCAUGCUUGCUUGAUAAGUAUUGUGAUCAUUAAACUUGUGCCUAAACUCCACCUAAACUUAAGAAUAUUAAAAACUGCAACUUUUUGCACUUAGUGUCUAAUCACCCCCCCUCUAGACACCUCUUCUCGAUCCUCUCAAUUGGUAUCAGAGCUUUGGUCUCCAUUGCCUUUGUUUAAACACCUUUGGAGGAAGAUGGAUGUGUCUACUUUAGGGAGUCUUAGACAUAGAAUGCCCAUUCUUGAUGCCGAGUAUUUUCAUGAGUGGAAAAAUGAAAUGCUUGAGAUUUUCAAUGAAUAUCAUUUGAACAAGUGCAUUGCUAGUCCUUGUGCACCUCAUAUUGAUCCUUUGCACCCUACCCUAGAUGAAGAUAUUGACAUGAUUCGCAAUCUUAGAACUGUUGAGCUCAUCAUUAGAGGAUUGCCCAAAAAUUUGAUUGCUAGUUUGCCUACUCUCAAAUGUGCCUACACCAUAUGGAAAUUUCUUGAGGAACGAUUUCCCGAUUAUUCCUUGAAAAAUUUAGACGAAAUUCUCCAUAAAUCUAUUGCCUUGAGUAAGAUGAACUCUAGUGAUCCUAGUUUUGGUGAUUGUCUAUUUGAGCUUACCAAUCUCAUGCAUGCUAAAGGAAAUGUUGGAAUCAUUAGUGAUAUCAUAUCCGAAGCUAUAAGAAUUCAUAAAGGUAACCACUUUGAUGAUCAUGUACCUAAUGAAUUACCUUCUCUAGGAAUUGAUCAAUCACAAAAUGAUGUUGAACAUGGAUAUUAUGAUGAAGAUGAUGAUAGUGACUAUGAUCUUGAUGAUGUAAUGAGACAUUUUGUACUUAUGGCAAAUCUUCACGGCUACAUGGCUGGAGGAAAGGAGUGGGUCCUUGAUAGUGGUUGUACUGAUCAUAUGACCGGAGACAAAGAUAUGUUCAAUGAGCUUGCUGAAAAUGACGGCCCUCGAAAAUAUGUCACCUUUGGUGAUAAUUCAAAGGGUAAUGUGGUUGGCCUUGGUAAGGUGGCCAUCUCACAUGAUAGCUCCAUACAAAAUGUCAUGCUCGUUGAAUCUCUUGGAUACAAUCUACUUCCAGUAUCUAGACUUGCUGAUUUCAGUUUCAAUGUCCUAUUUACUGAAGUAGAUUGCCAAGUGUUUCGUAGAGACAAUCAUAAAAUGGUCUUUACCGGUAUACGUAGAGGUGAUCUUUACAUUGUUGAUUUCACUAAAAAGGCUCAACCUAAAACUUGCUUUAUUGCUAAAUCCUCAAAAGGUUGGUUGUGGCAUAGACGACUAGGUCACGUUGGCAUGAGAAACCUUGACAAGCUUAUUAAAGGAAAUCAUAUCCUUGGAGUUAACGAUGUCAUAUUUGAUAAGGAUGGACUUUGCAGUGCUUGUCAAGCAGGUAAACAGGUUGGAGGAAGGCAUCCCGUGAAGAACAUCAUGGCCACAAGGAGGCCACUCGAGAUACUUCAUAUGGAUCUUUUUGGUCCCAACGCCUACAAGAGUCUCGGUGGAAAUUCUUUUGGUCUAGUUAUAGUUGAUGAUUUUUCAAGAUUUACGUGGGUGUUAUUUCUUGAUGAUAAAUCGCAGGUCCAAAAGAUCUUCAAAAACUUCGCUAGGAAGGCCCAAAAUCAAUUUGAAGUGAAGAUCAAGAAGGUUCAGAGUGACAACGGAACGGAGUUCAAGAACACAAAUGUGGACACCUUUCUUGACGAAGAAGGGAUUUCACACGAGUUCUCGGCUACGUACACACCUCAACAAAAUGGAGUUGUUGAGCGGAAGAACCGGACUCUUAUCGAGAUGGCAAGAACGAUGCUUGAUGAGUACAAGACGCCAAAGCACUUUUGGGCGGAAGCGGUUGAGACAGCUUGUCAUGCAACAAAUCGCUUGUAUCUUCACAAGCUACUCGGCAAGACGGCAUACGAGCUCCUCACUGGUAACAAACCCCAAGUUGGAUACUUUCGAGUAUUCGGCUCAAAGUGCUACAUUCUUGAUAAGCAUCGUCGUUCUAAAUUUGCUCCUAAGUCUCAUGAAGGUUUUCUACUUGGUUAUGGCUCAAACUCUCACACUUACCGUGUCUACAACAAUUUCACCCAAAAGGUUGAAGAGAUGGUGGAUGUGAAGUUUGAUGAAUCUAACGGCUCGCAAGUAGAGCAAAUGCCAAUUGAUGUAGGAGACAAAGACCCUUCGGAAGAAAUUCAAGACUUGUCCAUUGGCAAGAUUCGUCCAACGGAAAUGAAGGAGAGUACCUCGUCCAUCCAAGUGGAAGAUUCUACAUCACAUCAAGGUGAACCAAGAGUUGAUACGGGAGCAUCCACAAGUGGGACAUGUCAAGAUGAAGAAAACGAGGAAGUACACCAAGAUGAACAUCAACAACCUCCUUCUCCACCACGACAAGAGAACAACAACGUCAACAAUGAAGAAGAAGGCCAAGAAGAAGAAGAAGAAGAUGAAGAGGAUGUUCCACCCCGACCCAAGCAAAAUCUCUCACGAGUUCGAGCAAGAAUUGCCAAAGAUCAUCCCGUCGAGCAAAUCUACAAAGAUAUCCAAACCGGGAGAAUCACUCGCUCUAAAACUCGUUUAGCUAACUUCUGUGAGCAUUACUCAUUCAUUUCCAAAAUUGAACCUAUGAAGGUUGAAGAAGCACUGAAGGAUCCGGAUUGGAUAAACGCUAUGCAUGAAGAGCUACACAACUUCGAGAGAAAUCAAUUGUGGACAUUGGUCGAGAAGCCCGACAACAACCACAACAUCAUUGGUACCAAAUGGGUGUUUCGCAACAAGCAAGAUGAAGAUGGACAAGUGGUUCGCAAUAAAGCACGUCUCGUCGCCCAAGGUUAUACACAAGUUGAAGGUAUGGACUAUGGUGAGACAUAUGCUCCCGUUGCUAGACUUGAGUCCAUUCGCAUCUUACUUGCCUAUGCUAAUCACCAUAAUAUCACCUUAUACCAAAUGGACAUUAAAAGUGCUUUUCUAAAUGGCAAAAUUGAGGAGGAAGUUUAUGUUAAGCAACCUCCCGGCUUUGUUAAUCCUAAGAAACCUAAUCAUGUUUACAAACUUCACAAAGCCCUUUAUGGUCUUAAACAAGCUCCUAGAUCAUGGUAUAAAUGCUUGACCAAGUUCCUUACUGAAAAAGGCUUUGAAAUUGGUAAAAUUGAUUCUACUCUUUUUACUAAAAGGGUUAAUGGAGAACUAUUUGUGUGCCAAAUUUAUGUUGAUGAUAUCAUAUUUGGUUCUACUAACCCUCAUUUUAGUGAAAAGUUUGGAAAGCUAAUGUCGGAGAAGUUUGAGAUGUCUAUGAUGAGUGAACUCAAAUUCUUUCUUAGUUUGCAAAUCAAGCAAACUAAGGAAGGUACAUUUGUCUCUCAAACGAAGUACACCAAAAACUUAUUCAAGAAGUUCAAUAUGCAAGAAUGCAAAGGUAUGCCUACACCCAUGCCUACUAGUGGACAUCUUGAUUUGACCAAAGAUGGUGAACCGGUUGACCAAAAAGUUUAUCACUCGAUGAUCGGUUCAUUGUUAUAUCUAUGUGCCUCACGUCCCGAUAUUAUGCUAAGUGUGUGCAUGUGUGCAUGAUAUCAAGCUGCUCCUAAAGAAUGUCAUCUUAAGGCUGUGAAAAGGAUAGUGAGAUACUUAAUUCAUACACCAAAUUUUGGCAUUUGGUAUCCUAAGAGGUCCUCUUUUGAUCUUGUUGGCUAUUCUGACUUGGAUUAUGCCGGAGACAAGGUUGAUAGAAAGUCCACUUUGGGUACUUGUCAAUUUCUUGGUAGAUCUCUUGUGUCUUGGUCUUCCAAGAAACAAAACUCGGUAUCCUUAUCCACCGCCGAAGCGGAAUACAUUGCCGCUGGUUCAUGUUGUGCUCAAUUACUUUGGAUGACCCAAACUCUUAAAGAUUAUGGGAUCUAUGUGAAACAUGUUCCAUUGCUAUGUGACAAUGAAAGUGCUAUUAAGAUUGCUCACAAUCCUGUGCAACACUCUCGAACUAAGCAUAUUGAAGUUCGUCAUCAUUUCAUUCGAGAUCAUGUUGCCAAAGGGGACAUUAACCUUAAGCAUGUUCGCACCGAUAAGCAAUUGGCGGAUAUAUUCACUAAACCACUUGAUGAGAAAGUGUUUUGCAGGUUGAGAGGUCAAUUGAACAUUAUUGAUGCUUCGAACUUGGAGUAGGAACUCCAUUGGAUACAUGCAAGACAUGAGCUUAUGACUAAUCCUUGACAUUUCUCUUAUGAUGCUAUUCAUAUGUCUUGGAUAUAUUUGCACCUUGAAUGUUAUCUAACCCGUGUAGGUACUUGGUUGAAUCCAAUUCUAUGGGAUUGCAACUCACUCACAUCUUGAGCAAUCUCUACAUCACCAAGUCUUUACACAAUGGUGGUUGAAGACAAGGAAGCACAAAACCAUUCAAACAUAUCCUUUGGCAAAUUCUAUGUUGAGUCUCAUGAUUGUCAUUUUGGAUACACAAGUGCUCUUCCUUGCAAGACUAACCCAUGUAGGUAGAUGAACUCAAACUCCAAGUGGUGCUCCCAACUCUUGAUGAUCUACAUCAACCUUGAGCACCCACACAAGUUUAACCACAUGAGCAAGAUCCACACCACUACCCAAGGUAUGUUAUUCCAUCUUAGAGAAGCUUUACUCCAAGUCAUGAGUCAAAGCAACUCAACAAGAUGUGAAUACAUCAAGAUGCUUAAACGAAAAAUGGUAACCCCAUUUUGAGCUUAAACGAUGAGUAUGACCUAUGAUCAAGUGCUCUCACUUGACUCCUAAGUCAAUAUACUCUAACAUAGGUGACUAUGCCACCGCCCAACUCUAGAUGAAGUUCUCUUGUGUUCUUUUCCGUGUUAUUUCAUUUGUCUCAUGCAUAUUUGUUUUCUUUUUCUUUUUAAAAAAAACUUCAUCUAGAUCUUUCAGUUUCUUGUCUUUUCUUUUUGUUUUUAUUCUGCAUUUUCUGCAUCCAAUUCAUUGCAAAUCUUUGUGAGAUCUUACUUGUUUAGUGAGCUGAGGUGACAAGUGUUUUUCUCUGUGAUGAACUCGGUUUCACCGACUUGUAGUUUUUAGUCCAACCGAAUCCUUUCGGUACCACCGAAACAUGCCACUCGGUGCCACCGAUUUCACAACAGGAAAAACAGUUUGUCACUUGUUCUAUAUUUCUUUUGAUCCAGUUCCACUCAAUGAAUCUUGUCCUCUACAAGCAUCAUAGCUUUAUCCAUUGCUUUGUGCUGAGUCUCAAGGACCAAACCCAUUCGACAGAUUCCAGAAAGCCCUUCUUGGAAAUUGAUGUCAAAGGGGGAGAGAGAGAUCACAUCAAAGCUUAUCACCUACUAGGGAGAGAAUAUUAAGGGGGAGAAAGAGAUCUCCAGGGGGAGAGAAUACUCAAGGAUCCCAGAUGCUUGAUGUUCAAGAGGAG